UAUUAUUCAACCCCAUACUGGCCGGUAUAAAACUGCUAUAAAAUUACACUACAAACUUUCAUUACACCACAAAAUUCCUAUUUCGAAUCGAACCUUGAGUUUCAGUACCUAGUAUAGUUCAUUUGACAAGAAAAUAAAGUAAAAGUAUUGAGAAAUCAUACUCUCCAGAGAUCUAUCUUUCUGUGGCACAUAGAUAAUCUUUCACUUUUAACAUAGACACACAUAUAAUCGAUUUAUUUUACCAUAGACAGAUAGACCUAUAGAGACUAUGGUUUCUCAAUGCUUUUACUUUAUCUUCUCGUCAAAUGAACUGUAGGUUAGUAGGUAGUUCAACGUCUCAUACUUCUCACCACAGAGGAAAGAAACACUACUAUGCUUUAUGCUUAUUCCGUCCUUUCACCAACUUGAUUAUGAGCCAAAUAAUUCCCUGGACAAAGUGAUCUUACUUUUGCUAUAUUUUUACUCAUAUUGUAGCUGAAAUGUACCAAAAUGGUAGAUGUGUAAAGUGUAAUUUCAACUACUAGUACAUAAAAUGCAACUUAUGCAGAAAGGGGUGCUAGCCAAACCCUACGGCAUACACAUCCUCCUCGGCGGUCUCUACAUCAACACAAAACGCCCCUAUUGGCUGGCCUGCGUCAUCUACAGCACCCUAGUAGUCCUCGACAUCCUCUACGGAAUCUUCUCCGUUGCCUACACCGUCGUCGACAUUUGGUCCGACAAUGUAGCACUCACCUUGAAACAGUUCAACUACGUUCUGCUACGUCUACUCACGUUGGGUUUAGUUAUGACGGGGCUUUUCCGCACCCAAAAUAUGGACGACCUGUUCCCGAUGCUAGUUCGCUACCGAUACACGACCCCGCUCAGUCCUCAACAAUUAGCGAUCAUCGACAAAUACGACAAACAGUUCUGGAAGGUGUUCAACUACUUCAAAUACCUCAUGUACAUAGUCAACACUGUUUGGAUCGCCAUUCUGCCGAUGGUUGAGAUAACCUUGAACGAGGUCAUACUCCACCCAUCAACUAACACAACCAGGAAAUUCGGACAAUACAUCCCUGUCCUAGCAUGGCACCCCUACGAUCCCGAUAUAUUCAUAUCGUUCCUAAUCCAAUACAUGCUACAAGUGUUUUUCACGUUCCUACUGUGCCACACAGCUGUGGGCAUCACGGCCUCCUAUAUUGAUGUGGCGAUCUUUCUGAUCAGCUCUUUCAAAGUGUUGAAGAUCUCGCUGCAAGAAAUUAAACAGAGGGCGUUGCACUUGUAUUGUAUGUCAACCAAUGGCGAACAGAGGGCGUUGCACUUGUAUUGUAUGUCAACCAUGGCGGUGUGUCUGAGCGGAUGUUGGAUGAUGAACGUGUAGCCGAGGAUCCUCGCUACCAAAAACAUCUGCUCGGAUGUCUCAGGGAAGAUUUGGAGCAUCAGUUGCAGCUGAGAAGGAUUCAAAGAGGAAUGCUUGAGAUUUACGGUCCAAUUCUAUUAUUUCUUCUUCUAAUUGGCGGUGUCUUUCUCUGCACCAAAGCAAUUACACUUCUUGAGAUUAAUAAACUGAAUGAUGCCCAUCUCUUUCGGAACUUAUUCCGCAUGAUUCAGUCGGUGCUGAGCUUUACAAGUUACAUUUUCGUUUUCUGCUGGUAUGGAGAGGAGAUUACACAGGCGGGUGCAGAGGUUUUCGAUGCGUUGUACUUCUGUCCGUGGUUCAAUACCCCAAACAAACUGAAACGUGCCAUCCACACCAUGAUGAUCUGCAACUUGAAAGCUUCACAAAUGUCUGUGGCUGGACUGAAAACACUCAAUCUCAAAACUUUUGGGGAGGUUGUGAGUGCUGCGUACUCUUAUUUCAAUAUUGUGAGAAGUAUGAAGUAGAAUACGGUACCAUACUCUUCAGCCUAUGAUUGGAUAUGAAAAUGUUAGUCUAUUGAUAAAUUCAGUUUGAAAACUGAAUCCUUAUAGCUAUUCUAAAAUAAUAUUAUCAUUUGCCACAAUCAAUAAAGAAAUAUGGCAUGAUAAUGA
rnacentral:misc_RNA from 1 species